rnacentral:rRNA from 1 species
GUGGAUUAGAUACUCGGGUAGUCCACGCCGUAAACGGUGGGUGCUAGCUGUGGGCCACAUUCCACGUGGUCCGUGACGAAGUUAACACAUUAAGCACCCCGCCUGGGGAGUACGGCCGCAAGGCUAAAACUCAAAGGAAUUGACGGGGGCCCGCACAAGCGGCGGAGCAUGCGGAUUAAUUCGAUGCAACGCGAAGAACCUUACCAAGGCUUGACAUAUAGAGGAAAAGUGCAGAAAUGUACUCCCCGCAAGGUCUCUAUACAGGUGGUGCACGGUCGUCGUCAGCU